GAGAGUUCUCCCCUCACAAAUAGAGUUGGUUGGGGCCAUAGCCCGUCUUUUCCAAAAAGUUUUCUCAGAUAGGCUACGGAUAGGUGGGCCGGGGGGCCCUACCGUAACGAUACACGUCAGCGAGGAUGGAUGGGAGCAGGGCCGGAGUGAUGGCAUCACUAGACAAGGUUUUGCAGGGCUUGGGGAGCGGUUUGCAGCGUUCUGCCACCUCUUGUAUCUCCCGCACCUGGACACCUUUGUACAUCCCAGACACUGUGACGGAAUGGACUCUCCCGUUAGUAAACUCUUUGGAGAGUUGCGCUUUGUACGGGAUGUUGAACUCAUUCAUCUUCGCUACUAACUUCACCACACAGGAGUGGCCGGCAGGGAUAUUGACUUUGAAGGCUGCGUUGCUCUUAGCGUGGUCACGGUGAUGUUCAUAACCUUGUUGGAAAGCUUUGGGUACCCAUCAUCGUCCUCAGCAACGGUGC